rnacentral:tRNA from 1 species
UUAGUUAAAACCAAUAAUAUUGAGGUUCCACAUUGUUACUGUGGUCAUAGGACAGACUCCUAACUACG